rnacentral:tRNA from 1 species
GGCCCAAUGGUCUAGUAGUAUGAUACGCGCUUCGGGUUAUUCCCCUGGUUGGUGAAUCGGGAAAUGCGCGGGGUCCCGGGUUCAAUUCCCGGUUGGGCCC